UCCACCCUGCCUCCUGAAGCAUACAGUCUAAUUUUUUUCUAUCAUGGAUUAUUUUCACCCAUCCUAUAAUUUCAUAUGAAUGGAAUCACAGAGUAUACAUUCUUUUGUUCACAGGUCUCUGCAUUAAGAGUACGGAGGAACUACACGACAAACUACAGCCAAAGUAUUUCAUCAAUAUCUGGACAAGAUUUACGUGAUGAGAUCAUGGACUUUAAGCUUGAUGCUCUGAUUGGAUGAAAUUUUGGGGUCUGAAAGAGAAGCAGAGUCUCUUCCCCUGCUCCUGAUCUGGAAUGGCCCUGUGACUUGCUUUGAUCAAUAAAAUGUGCAGAAGUGAUGGUGUAUGACUACUGAGGCCUGGCAGAAUUCCAGAAUGUGAUGCCAUGAAGCUUCCACCUUUAAUCUUUUGGAACACCCUUCUGAGACUUCUCUGGAUGAAAGAAAACAUGAAGGAAAAGGCUGAACCAUCAGCCAGCCCCAACCAACAUACUUGGGGUGAAGCCAUCUUGGGACUCCUAGCACAAACUUAUGAGUGAGCCCAGACAAAGUCAGACAAUUCACAGAAAUUUGAGAAACAAUAAAUUGUCAUCGUUUUAAGCCUGUAAAUGCAUGUGUGCUUUAUUACACAGCAAUAGACGACUAAAGCAGAAAUUGAUUUUAUCAAAAUUUUUCUCCCAAAGAAAACCCCUGGCUUACAUGUCUUCAC